UUCGGAUUGUAGGCUGCAACCCGCCUACAUGAAGUUGGAAUUGCUAGUAAUCGCAGAUCAGAAUGCUGCGGUGAAUACGUUCCCGGGCCUUGUACACACCGCCCGUCACACCAUGGGAGCCGGUAAUACCCGAAGUCAGUAGUCUAACCGCAAGGGGGACGCUGCCGAAGGUAGGAUUGGCGACUGGGGUGAAGUCGUAACAAGGUAAC
rnacentral:rRNA from 1 species